AUGCCGGUGGACCUCAGCAAGUGGUCCAGGCCCUAGAGCCUGCAAGAAGUGGAUGAGCAGACGCAGCACCCGCUGUAUGUCACCUACGCCGGGGGCGGCGGUGGACAAGCUGGGCAAAGUGCUGACGCCCACCCAGGUUAAGAAUAGACCCACCAGCAUUUGGUGGGAUGGUAUUGAUUCAGGGAAGCUCUACACCUUGGUCCUGACAGACCCGGCUGCUCCCAGCAGAAAGGAUCCCAAAUACAGGGAAUGGCAUCAUUUCCUGGCGGUCAACAUUAAGGGCAGUGACAUCAGCAGUGGCACAGUCCUCUCCGAUUAUGUGGGCUCAGGGCCUCCCAAGGGCACAGGCCUCCACUACUAUGGCUGGCUGGUUUACGAGCAGGCCAGGCAGCUAAAGUGUGACGAGCCCCCUCAGCAACCGAUCUGGAAACCAACGUGACAAAUUCAAGGUGGCGUCCUUCCAUAAAAAGUACCAGCUCGGGACCCCGGUGGCCGGCACAUGUUACCAGGCCGAGUGGGACGACUAUGUGCCCAAACUGUACGAGCAGCUGUCUGGGAAGUAGGGGGUUAGCUUGGGGACCUCAACUGUCCUGGAGGACCCAAGCCCUGUUUCCCAGUUCAGUGUUGCAUGUAUAAUAGAUUUCUCCUCUUCCUGCCCACCUUGGCACAGACGACACCUGACCAGUCAGAUGGUGGUUGAGGGUGACUUUUCCUGCUGCCUGACCUUUAUAAUUUUACUCACUCUGAUUUAUGUUUUGAUCAAAUUUGAACUUCAUUUUGGGGGAUAUUUUGGUACUGUGAUGGGGUCAUCAAAUUGUUAAUCUGAAAAUAGCAACCCAGAAUGUAAAAAAGAAAAAAUCAGGUGGGAAAAAGACCAGGUCUACAGUGAUAGAGCAAAGCAUUGAAGAAUCUUUAAGGGAGGUUUAAAAAGAAAAAAAAAAAAGAUUGGUUGCCUCUGCCUUUGUGAACCUGAGUCCAGAAUGGUACACAAUGUGUUUUUAUGGUGAUGUCGCUCACCUAGACAAGCAGAGGCUGGCAUUGAAGCGGACCCCCAACACGGUGCAUCUCAGAUGCCUCAACAGGCAUCAGCAUGUUGCUGUGACCCCUUUAAAGAGCAGUCCUGGAAGAGGCAGGAGGGAGAGUGGCUUUGCUGCUGUUGGGACGUGGCCAUGGAGACCGGCAGCAGCGCUCGCUGACAGCUUAGGAGGAAUCCUUACAUCUUUGUCUGUUAAAUUGAUUGUUCUUCAUGGGAGUCAGAAAAGCUGGUCUGGAGUUGCUGAAUGUUGUGUUAAUUGUGCUGUUUGCUUAUAGUUGAAUAAAAAUGGAAACCUGAAUGAAAA